ACUCGUGGCGACUGGCUCAGUAACACGUGGUCCAAACUACCCUUCGGACCACAAUACCCUCGGGAAACUGAGGCUAAUAGUGUACACCACAGUCCACCUGGAAUGAGGACUGUGCCAAACGCUCCGGCGCCGAAGGAUGUGGCUGCGGCCGAUUAGGUAGACGGUGGGGUAACGGCCCACCGUGCCAAUAAUCGGUACGGGUCAUGAGAGUGAGAACCCGGAGACGGAAUCUGAGACAAGAUUCCGGGCCCUACGGGGCGCAGCAGGCGCGAAACCUUUACACUGCACGACAGUGCGAUAAGGGAAUCCCAAGUGCACAGGCAUAGAGCCUGUGCUUUUGUACACCCUAGGGCGGUGUACGAAUAAGGGCUGGGCAAGACCGGUGCCAGCCGCCGCGGUAAUACCGGCAGCCCAAGUGAUGGCCGAUCUUAUUGGGCCUAAAGCGUCCGUAGCUGGCCGCACAAGUCCAUCGGGAAAUCCACCUGCCCAACAUGUGGACUCCCGGUUGGAAACUGUGUGGCUUGGGACCGGAAGGCUCUACGGGUAACGUCCGGGGUAAGGAGUGAAAUCCCCGUAAAUCCCUGGACGGACCGCCCGAUG
rnacentral:rRNA from 1 species